rnacentral:rRNA from 1 species
CUCCAACGAGCGCAACCCUGAUCUAGCCAUGCCGCGUGAGUGAUGAAGGCCUUAGGGUUGUAAAGCUCUUUCAGCUGUGAAGAUAAUGACGGUAGCAGCAGAAGAAGUCCCGGCUAACUCCGUGCCAGCAGCCGCGGUAAUACGGAGGGGACUAGCGUUGUUCGGAAUUACUGGGCGUAAAGCGCACGUAGGCGGAUCGGAAAGUUGGGGGUGAAAUCCCGGGGCUCAACCCCGGAACUGCCUUUGAUACUGGGUGUCUUGAGUGUGGAAGAGGUCAGUGGAAUUGCGAGUGUAGAGGUGAAAUUCGUAGAUAUUCGGAGGAACACCAGUGGCGAAGGCGGCUCACUGGCUCGAUACUGACGCUGAGGUGCGAAAGCGUGGGGAG